rnacentral:lncRNA from 1 species
AAUUUCUAGGAUUCGCGAGUGAACAAGCUGUAUCCUUGGAGUGGCCAAAUAAGAUCAUAUUUUUGGCCUUGGAGGAGUGUUUCACCUCUGCUCCUCUUUCAACUACCAUCUUCCUAUUCUAACACAUUGUUUUGUACGGGUCAUAAUAGGGUUUCUUCUUUGCCAUAAUUGACUGUGUUGAUUUACCCUUUCUCUUUCGAAUUUUCAGCCCAAUUCAAUACCUCCUUGGCUUCGAUAUUGGAGCACAAUUUCAGGAUGUCCUGCCGCCACAAUGUUGAAGAGCGUGUUCAACGAGUACGAGAUCUAUGAAACAUCGAAUUAGAUGAAUUGUGCCACCAGUUUGAACAACUUUAAGAUGAAAUUCAACGACUUCAACAGCAUCAAGAGCAACAUGAAUGCUGACAUCGUUAGGAUUUCAAUCAUUAUUCUAAUAGAGAGCUAUUUGAUGAUGAAAGCAGAUGUUCCAAUAAAAUAGUGGAAGAUUUCAAUUCAUUCUACAGCAUAAGAGCAUCUUCAUCGAGUAAAGAAGAUAUCCGAUGCCACCGUGAACAGAGACCACAUCACAACCAUCGUAACUUCGGCAUCAAAAUAGACAUUCUUAAUUUUGAAGAUUUCCUGCAACCUAAAGAGUACAUUGAUUGGCUCUACAUAGAUGAACAAGUCUUCGAGCGUAAUGAAGUUUCCAACGAUUGAUGGAUGAAGUUAGUCGCCAGCAAGCUCAAA